CAGUAGCCGCGGGAAUACGGAGGGUGCAAGCGUUAUCCGGAUUUAUUGGGUUUAAAGGGUCCGUAGGCGGAUCUGUAAGUCAGUGGUGAAAUCUCACAGCUUAACUGUGAAACUGCCAUUGAUACUGCAGGUCUUGAGUAAAUUUGAAGUGGCUGGAAUAAGUAGUGUAGCGGUGAAAUGCAUAGAUAUUACUUAGAACACCAAUUGCGAAGGCAGGUCACUAAGAUUUAACUGACGCUGAUGGACGAAAGCGUGGGGAGCGAACAGGAUUAGAUACCCGGGUAGUCCCUGUCUCUUAUAC
rnacentral:rRNA from 1 species